rnacentral:rRNA from 2 species
AGCACGCCGCGUGAGUGAAGAAGGCUUUCGGGUCGUAAAACUCUGUUGUUGGAGAAGAAUGGUCGGCAGAGUAACUGUUGYCGGCGUGACGGUAUCCAACCAGAAAGCCACGGCUAACUACGUGCCAGCAGCCGCGGUAAUACGUAGGUGGCAAGCGUUAUCCGGAUUUAUUGGGCGUAAAGCGAGCGCAGGCGGUUUUUUAAGUCUGAUGUGAAAGCCCUCGGCUUAACCGAGGAAGCGCAUCGGAAACUGGGAAACUUGAGUGCAGAAGAGGACAGUGGAACUCCAUGUGUAGCGGUGAAAUGCGUAGAUAUAUGGAAGAACACCAGUGGCGAAGGCGGCUGUCUGGUCUGUAACUGACGCUGAGGCUCGAAAGCAUGGGUAGCGAACAGGAUUAGAUACCCUGGUAGUCCAUGCCGUAAACGAUGAAUGCUAGGUGUUGGAGGGUUUCCGCCCUUCAGUGCCGCAGCUAACGCAUUAAGCAUUCCGCCUGGGGAGUACGACCGCAAGGUUGAAACUCAAAGGAAUUGACGGGGGCCCGCACAAGCGGUGGAGCAUGUGGUUUAAUUCGAAGCAACGCGAAGAACCUUACCAGGUCUUGACAUCUUUUGAUCACCUGAGAGAUCAGGUUUCCCCUUCGGGGGCAAAAUGACAGGUGGUGCAUGGUUGUCGUCAGCUCGUGUCGUGAGAUGUUGGGUUAAGUCCCGCAACGAGCGCAACCCUUAUGACUAGUUGCCAGCAUUUAGUUGGGCACUCUAGUAAGACUGCCGGUGACAAACCGGAGGAAGGUGGGGAUGACGUCAAAUCAUCAUGCCCCUUAUGACCUGGGCUACACACGUGCUACAAUGGAUGGUACAACGAGUUGCGAGACCGCGAGGUCAAGCUAAUCUCUUAAAGCCAUUCUCAGUUCGGACUGUAGGCUGCAACUCGCCUACACGAAGUCGGAAUCGCUAGUAAUCGCGGAUCAGCACGCCGCGGUGAAUACGUUCCCGGGCCUUGUACACACCGCCCGUCACACCAUGAGAGUUUGUAACACCCGAAGCCGGUGGCGUAACCCUUUUAGGGAGCGAG